UACGAAGGGGGCUAGCGUUGCUCGGAAUCACUGGGCGUAAAGCGCACGUAGGCGGCUUUUUAAGUCAGGGGUGAAAUCCUGGAGCUCAACUCCAGAACUGCCUUUGAUACUGGGAAGCUUGAGUCCGGGAGAGGUGAGUGGAACUCCGAGUGUAGAGGUGAAAUUCGUAGAUAUUAGGAAGAACACCAGUGGCGAAGGCGGCUCACUGGUCCGGUACUGACGCUGAUGUGCGAAAGCGUGGGGGAGCAAACAGG
rnacentral:rRNA from 1 species